GCAAUAGAAGUUGAGGAGCUUUACAACGAUGCCCAGGCUUAAAUUGUUCAUCACAAUUGAAACACAAUCCUUUGGCUCGUCUUUCAGUUUGUUCGGCAACUGAUAGACGUCGAAAUGGUGGUAAUCCCGGAGGGGGUGGGCCUAAUAAAGAGGGUUGUGAUGACCCCCCAGUUUUGGUUAUUGUGGGAGAUGAAUUAAGAAGUGGUGGCGAUGGCCUGCUCAUACUAGGCCGAGGUGGAAUCCUUCGAUUAGAAACAGCCGCGUAUUCUUCUUGGAAUCUUGCAAGCUCAAAAGUUUGUAGGAGACUUGCAGGUUUCAACAUCUGCACUCCAAUUUUAAUAUCCUCUCGUAAUCCCGAAAGGAA
rnacentral:lncRNA from 1 species